ACCUUUUCUGGCAGCGACUGACACUGCAGUAAACAAGCUCAAACUGGGGAAGGCACACGGUAAAUGUUACAGAUGAAGUCAUAAAAGUCUGGCAGGCACUUAGUUUGUGUCCUUCAUAAAAUCUGUGAAGAAGCAAAUGGGAAACCAGGGACUGGUCAAAGUACCAGCACAAAUCAAUCUACCUUUCACCAUCUCAGGGAAAGUAAAGCAGACCUGAAAAAGACCUGCUGAGCAGAUCUCUUCUCAAAACCGGAUAAUGUGCUGCCACAUGUCACUGGAACUUGCAAAGCAAGAUGGGUCCAAGAAGAUGGAAUGAGCUGGGACAGAUCAUUUCCUGCAACUAGCAGCAUCGGGUUCCUGCCUGGAGCACCUGAGAUGGCGGCCGUCUCCUCAGGGUGAGUCAUGGCUCCUGCAGCCUUUGCAUGGCUUUCUUGCCACUUUGACAGUUUUGCUGCCUUUGCCUUUUGCUCUCUUCUUGUCUAGAAGAUUUUUCAUUGGGUGUUGUGGUAAUUAAAGGCAAACAAGUCAUGUCUUGCCUUGGAUGAGAGAAGAUAAGAGCAGGACAAAAGAGGCUCAGGGUUAACUCUUUCCUUUGUUCUCAUCUAUCAAAGAAGAGAUUGCCAUACGUUUUCUCUACAUCUGCUGCUUAUAUU
rnacentral:lncRNA from 1 species